AACUACUCCACAGUGUUUUGAAAACACUAAAAAGACGAAGUCUAGUAGUUU
rnacentral:tRNA from 1 species